GAGCCUUUAGCUAGGGCUGCAGGAAUCUGAAGGCUGGGGCUGAGAACCUGUUCCCAUGCUCACUUGGGACUGUGGCAGACAGUUUCUCAGCUCCUCUCUGUUCCUCACCUUGUGCACACUUCCCAGGGCUGCAUGGCAGUGGCUUCCUGAGAGAGUAAGGCAGAGGCUGCCAUGUCCUAAUAACCUGGAACCCAGUGUGAGAUGCCAUCACUUCCAUGCCGCACCGACCACCCUGCUGUGGGAGGGCAGAGCCACACAGCAUGUGGACAGCAGGAGGUGGCAUCCCUGAGACUGGCUCAGAGGCUGACUCCUCUGUGAGAGGUCUUCACACAUGCUUCCACCACCAGUGCUCUGGAAUGAAGGGGAGAAUACUCCUGUGGAUGACACUAUCAGAGAUACUUCUAAUACACACCAUAGGUGCAUCAUACUAUUCUUGUGAAUUUCUGUUGUUUUCACAUAUCAGUGAAGUGAGACUUGAGCUGAAAUAGAUGUGAUGAAGUGUGGAGGGAGAUCUGACAUGGGCUCUGUUAUGACUGAAGCGUGUCCUCCAAAAAAGCACAUGCUGGAAACUCGAUCUUCAAAACAGCAGAGAAGGUUGGUUCGAUAUCAUUCCAGAGGAAUCAUAAGGAGGUCCUCCAGUUGAAGAUUCUGAAGACGCUGCUCCUUUCACUGCAUUGCGCUGAGAGUGAAACCUGUCAUAGAUCUGUUUUGUUGUCUGGUUCAAUUGUCACAUCUCACAGCAACCAUUAUGGGUUCCAUUCUUCUGGAUGCCGCUGCCUGCUACAAGUGACGUUUUGGGUGACAUCAUCCCAUUUGGAGGAAUUUUGGCAAAAGAGCUCUGGCAUGAUGUCUCCACUCCCCAGCCCUGUCCCAACUGCCCCUGACCCUGGCACAGGAAAGGAUGCAGGUGCAGUUCUUUCUGCAAGAGAAAAUCCAGAGGGAAGACACAGCCACUGUUCUCUGCCUGGAAAUGCUCUACUGAGUUUCCAGUGGCCCUGGCUGGGGUCCACAAGCUGGUGGGCACAUGGUGUCCUGUGCAUCCAUGGUCUGAGCGGCAGAUGGCCCAGAGCCAUGGCCCUCUGGGGAAUCGUUGCUCUUUGCUCCUGGCCUGUGGCCUCACCUUGA
rnacentral:lncRNA from 1 species